UACGGAGGGUGCAAGCGUUGUCCGGAAUCACUGGGCGUAAAGGGCGCGUAGGCGGCUCAUGAAGGCUGUGGUGAAAGUCCGGGGCUCAACCUCGGAUCGGCCGUGGCGACUCGUGGGCUGGAGCACUGUAGAGGCGGGUGGAAUUCCGGGUGUAGCGGUGGAAUGCGUAGAGAUCCGGAAGAACACCAGUGGCGAAGGCGGCCCGCGUGGGCAGUGGCUGACGCUGGAGGCGCGACAGGCGUGGGGAGCAAACAGGAUUGAGAA
rnacentral:rRNA from 1 species